UUGUAAGUGUCUAAGGGCGCAUGGUGGAUGCCUUGGCAUCGAGAGCCGAUGAAGGACGUGGGAGGCUGCGAUAUGCCUCGGGGAGCUGUCAACCGAGCGUGGAUCCGAGGAUUUCCGAAUGGGGAAACCCAGCACGAGUGAUGUCGUGCUACCCGCAUCUGAAUAUAUAGGGUGCGGGAGGGAACGCGGGGAAGUGAAACAUCUCAGUACCCGUAGGAGGAGAAAACAAUUGUGAUUCCGCAAGUAGUGGCGAGCGAACGCGGAACAGGCUAAACCGCACGCAUGGGUAACCGGGUAGGGGUUGUGUGUGCGGGGUUGUGGGAGGAUAUGUCUCAGCGCUACCCGGCUGAGAGGCAGUCAGAAAGUGUCGUGGUUAGCGGAAGUGGCCUGGGAUGGUCUGCCGUAGACGGUGAGAGCCCGGUACGCGAAAACCCGGCACCUGCCUAGUAUCAAUUCCCGAGUAGCAGCGGGCCCGUGGAAUCCGCUGUGAAUCCGCCGGGACCACCCGGUAAGCCUAAAUACUCCUCGAUGACCGAUAGCGGAUUAGUACCGUGAGGGAAUGGUGAAAAGUACCCCGGGAGGGGAGUGAAAGAGUACCUGAAACCGUGUGCCUACAAUCCGUCAGAGCCUCCUUUUCCUCUCCGGAGGAGGGUGGUGAUGGCGUGCCUUUUGAAGAAUGAGCCUGCGAGUCAGGGACAUGUCGCAAGGUUAACCCGUGUGGGGUAGCCGCAGCGAAAGCGAGUCUGAAUAGGGCGACCCACACGCGCAUACGCGCGUGUGAAUAGUGGCGUGUUCUGGACCCGAAGCGGAGUGAUCUACCCAUGGCCAGGGUGAAGCGCGGGUAAGACCGCGUGGAGGCCCGAACCCACUUAGGUUGAAGACUGAGGGGAUGAGCUGUGGGUAGGGGUGAAAGGCCAAUCAAACUCCGUGAUAGCUGGUUCUCCCCGAAAUGCAUUUAGGUGCAGCGUUGCGUGGUUCACCGCGGAGGUAGAGCUACUGGAUGGCCGAUGGGCCCUACUAGGUUACUGACGUCAGCCAAACUCCGAAUGCCGUGGUGUAAAGCGUGGCAGUGAGACGGCGGGGGAUAAGCUCCGUACGUCGAAAGGGAAACAGCCCAGAUCGCCGGCUAAGGCCCCCAAGCGUGUGCUAAGUGGGAAAGGAUGUGCAGUCGCAAAGACAACCAGGAGGUUGGCUUAGAAGCAGCCACCCUUGAAAGAGUGCGUAAUAGCUCACUGGUCAAGUGAUUGUGCGCCGAUAAUGUAGCGGGGCUCAAGCACACCGCCGAAGCCGCGGCACAUCCACCUUGUGGUGGGUGUGGGUAGGGGAGCGUCCCUCAUUCAGCGAAGCCACCGGGUGA
rnacentral:rRNA from 1 species